rnacentral:rRNA from 1 species
AGUCGAACGAUGAUGCCCAGCUUGCUGGGUUGAUUAGUGGCGAACGGGUGAGUAACACGUGAGUAACCUGCCCCUGACUCUGGGAUAAGCGUUGGAAACGACGUCUAAUACUGGAUAUGAUCACUGGCCGCAUGGUCUGGUGGUGGAAAGAUUUUUUGGUUGGGGAUGGACUCGCGGCCUAUCAGCUUGUUGGCGAGGUAAUGGCUCACCAAGGCGACGACGGGUAGCCGGCCUGAGAGGGUGACCGGCCACACUGGGACUGAGACACGGCCCAGACUCCUACGGGAGGCAGCAGUGGGGAAUAUUGCACAAUGGGCGAAAGCCUGAUGCAGCAACGCCGCGUGAGGGAUGACGGCCUUCGGGUUGUAAACCUCUUUUAGUAGGGAAGAAGCGAAAGUGACGGUACCUGCAGAAAAAGCACCGGCUAACUACGUGCCAGCAGCCGCGGUAAUACGUAGGGUGCAAGCGUUGUCCGGAAUUAUUGGGCGUAAAGAGCUCGUAGGCGGUUUGUCGCGUCUGCUGUGAAAUCCCGAGGCUCAACCUCGGGCUUGCAGUGGGUACGGGCAGACUAGAGUGCGGUAGGGGAGAUUGGAAUUCCUGGUGUAGCGGUGGAAUGCGCAGAUAUCAGGAGGAACACCGAUGGCGAAGGCAGAUCUCUGGGCCGUAACUGACGCUGAGGAGCGAAAGCAUGGGGAGCGAACAGGAUUAGAUACCCUGGUAGUCCAUGCCGUAAACGUUGGGCGCUAGAUGUAGGGACCUUUCCACGGUUUCUGUGUCGUAGCUAACGCAUUAAGCGCCCCGCCUGGGGAGUACGGCCGCAAGGCUAAAACUCAAAGGAAUUGAC